UCGCCCCGCCCGUGGUUCCCCUGGGCCUGGGUCCGCCCGCGACGGCCCCCAAGCUCCCACUGGGGCCUGGAGGACAGAGUUUACCGGAGAGACCCCCUUGUUGGAGAUCUCCCGCUGAAGGACGCGGCCGCGUCGCUGAAUUUGCCCGGAAGGGGGAGUAGGAGUUCUCCUGCCUGUCACUCUCAGUCAAGCCUCGUGAAUUUCUCUCGUUCCCUUCUACACGCGCCCUCCGCAGUCUCUUCAAAUUGUCAUCCCACCCUGACAGCUGCACUGCAUCAGUGGUGACAGGUCCAGGAACGCAGGCAGUGAAAAGAAGAGAUUGGACCUGGAAAAGAAACUUUAUGAACAUAAUCAAUCUGAUAUAUGCAGCCUCUCAUUAAAAUCAAAUUCCACUGGGAGAAAUUACACACUUGCACCGUGAUUGGGAAGAACAGGCCGCGUUCACUCAACCACUGAUGGAACUGGAGGGUCAUCAGACGAGACUCGCAAACACCGUGUGUUCUUUAGGAGCAGACUGAAGCCGUUGACCUCUAGGGUGAUUGUGAAAGGAAUUUGGGCUCCGUCACUGUUUCUGAAUAAGUCAGAACAGUCCAGCACUCACUCCUUGGCAGUGCGGAAGAUGA